CACGCACAGUCUUUUUCAUAUCUAACUGCUACGCCGUAUGCGUCCACUCUUCACUCUGCUGGGUCAUAAAACUGAAGCAGGGAGAGAACCCUGGUUUCUCUCAAUGGCGGGUAUAAUUUAUUUAUUCACAUUUAGAUCAAUAAUGUAUUCGUUUCCUGUAAUUGAAGUGUUUAAUGUGGUGAGCUGCACACUAUGGCAUUCCUACGUAACUUAAUUCCAUUUUUUUUUUCAUGUUUGCAAUCAAGACUGCUUAUCUUUAUGUGCUGAGUAGUAGCUGACCUAGAAUGAUGCUCCCCCGGACAUUCUGUGGUUGAGCAACCCUAGAGGAGGUCAUAGAAAGGUCUGUUAAGGUUAGAGAGCAUUCAUCUUCCGUGGUCUAUCCAUCUCCCCAUCAAAAAUGAAUAACUGUACACAUUCCCUUGUCAAAAGUCUCAGUGAGUUAUUUUACUUGUUAUUCAUUUUUUAUUUUGAGGGAGCGUUGAACGAAUUUGACAAAAUGUGUAUUACUCAGUUAACUUCACACUCCUUCUCAGGGACAAACCUGGGAAUGAUGAACUCUGAAGAGGAGACUUGCCAACUUCACUAUACGUGUAUGGAACAUAGCACAACAUACUCAUAUUGAACAUGCAGUUUACAAUAUACAAUGGCAGCAACAACAAGAAAUUGCACAUUCUACAUUAUUUGACCACAUUCGACAGCCUACAUAGAACAACAAAACAAACAAACAAAUAAAUAAAUAAAUGAAGGACAACUGAAAAUAAAAAAAAAAUAAAAAUACUGACUUAUAAACACAAACACAAACACAAUAGAUGCCAAAUACUGUGUUGUACUGUCUCCCCUGAAGUUAUAGUUCAUAAUUGUAUUAUUACAUUUCAACAUCUGAAUAUCCCUGUUUCAGCAGAAGAGGAAGCAGGAAGCUGAGGGUACACAUACAGUAUAAAACUAUUUCAAGAUUGUUUCCCUGAAAAAGCGUGCUUAAACCAGGCAACAAUCAGGUGAAAACUUUAUUUAUAUAACACGG
ensembl:lncRNA